rnacentral:rRNA from 1 species
CUCGUAGGUGGCCAACUAAGUCAGACGUGAAAUCCCUCGGCUUAACCGGGGAACUGCGUCUGAUACUGGAUGGCUUGAGGUUGGGAGAGGGAUGCGGAAUUCCAGGUGUAGCGGUGAAAUGCGUAGAUAUCUGGAGGAACACCGGUGGCGAAGGCGGCAUCCUGGACCAAUUCUGACGCUGAGGAGCGAAAGCCAGGGAGCAAACG